AGAGUGAAUGCAGGUAGAGCAACAUGUGCUGCUGUAAGAAAAAACAAGAAGAAGAAAGAAGAUGCACUGUUGUCUACACCCAUUUACUACAGCUUUGUCCCGAGUGACACUCAACCACAAGAUGGACUGUCCAGUAGACCUAUUUACAGCUUAGCCCAGGGUGACACUCAACCACAAAAUGAAGAUGAACUGUCUUCUAGAUCCAUUUACUACAGUUUAGCCCAGGGUGACACUCAGCCACAAGGUGAGACUCAUUGUGAUUAAACCCAUUUAAUAAUGAUGCUUAGAUUAAGCAACAACAGAAACAUCCCCUAACAAGUGUUUUAUUAUAUAAAAAUAUGGGUUACCAACUAAUUUAUUUCCAUCUAUUAUCAAAGCAGAGUCAGAACCCA